UGGGUGAGAAUGAGAGUUGCUUCCAUCUGACACAAUAGAGCAGUUAUACAGGGUUUGCAGUUACACAUUAGUUUUUUUAAGUGGUGGUGGGACUGAGGUUUGUAAUCUGAUGGGCAAAAAACAGAAAACCGAAACGUGCAGUUAUUUCACCAGUAGUUUUGCCUCUUAAUUACACCUGACCCAUUAUCCUCCUUGACUCCUGUUCAAACCUUGACACGGCUGACUUGGAACCUGCAAUGCAAACUGGAG